rnacentral:lncRNA from 1 species
GGCUCAAGGCCUUAGAAACAAUAAGAAAAGAGAUAUGGAUACAAUUAAGAGAAUCCUAUAUUGCUGGUGAUACACAGGUGCCGCACCAGUUUGAAGUGGGAGACGUGGUCCUGGUGAGAAGACAUCGAACAGGAAACUUAGAGCCGAGGUGGAAAGGACCAUAUCUGGUACUGCUGACGACGCCCACUGCAGUCAAAGUUGAAGGAAUUCCCACCUGGGUCCACGCGUCACACGUUAAGAGAGCACCUCCUGAAGCUGAUCCAGAUAGAUGGGUGCUAGAAAAGACUACUAAUCCUCUUAAGUUACGCCUGUGUCGUAGGGGUGACCUUUCAUCUGAGACCUCAAUCCGCCCGGGGAAGGUCAUUUAACUGUGUUUGAUUUUCAGAUGAAAGGAAGGAUGCCUUCCCUAUGGAUGUUUUUAUGCUUUACAGUUGUAAGCGCCUCCCCGUAUCGAAUCUUUAAUUUUACCUGGGUUAUUACUAACCAAGCGGGGGACAUGGCAAAUUCCUCCUCCAUAGUCUCUGCCACCACGCCUUGGCCUAAUUUAGAAGUAGACCUCUGUCGGCUGGCCCUAGGAGCAGACACUGCAUGGGGUACCCCUGAUCACUAUUUGCCGCAACCUAAACCUGUAAACACCCAACAGAGAUAUAGCACUGUCCCAGGAUGCUAUAAUGCUGCUGCCAGGACAUACUUGACAAUGGCACCCAUAUAUGUCUGCCCAGGGCCACACAGAGAUCGCUCCCUGACCACAAAAUGUGGCUAUGCCCCAGAUUACUAUUGUGCCUCUUGGGGAUGUGAGACGACUGGUGAUACUUACUGGAACCCAUC